AACGAACGCUGGCGGCGUGGAUAAGACAUGCAAGUCGAACGCUGACCAAAAGGUAGCAAUAUCGUUUGGUCGGAGUGGCGCAAGGGUGCGUAACACGUGGGCAAUCUGCCGCGAAGACCGGAAUAACCUGCUGAAAGGCGGGCUAAUACCGGAUGUGGUUGUCUAGAGGAUUCUUUGGACAAGCAAAGUCGGGGACCGCAAGGCCUGACACUUCGCGAUGAGCCCGCGGCCUAUCAGCUAGUUGGCGGGGUAAUGGCCCACCAAGGCUAAGACGGGUAGCUGGUCUGAGAGGACGACCAGCCACACUGGAACUGAGACACGGUCCAGACACCUACGGGUGGCAGCAGUCGAGAAUUUUUCACAAUGGGCGAAAG
rnacentral:rRNA from 1 species